CAUCUCCUGAUUCCUUACCCCUCAGAUCUAAAUAUUGAUCUGAGUUUCUGAAAAGAGGAAAAGUAAAACUGAAACAGACUUGGAGUCUUUAAUGACAAUCAAGUCCAUUUCCAAACAUUA
rnacentral:snoRNA from 1 species